GACGAACGCUGGCGGCGUGCCUAAUACAUGCCAGUUGAGCGAUGAAGAUUGGUGCUUGCACCAAUUUGAAGAGCAGCGAACGGGUGAGUAACGCGUGGGGAAUCUGCCUUUGAGCGGGGGACAACAUUUGGAAACGAAUGCUAAUACCGCAUAACAACUUUAAACAUAAGUUUUAAGUUUGAAAGAUGCAAUUGCAUCACUCAAAGAUGAUCCCGCGUUGUAUUAGCUAGUUGGUGAGGUAAAGGCUCACCAAGGCGAUGAUACAUAGCCGACCUGAGAGGGUGAUCGGCCACAUUGGGACUGAGACACGGCCCAAACUCCUACGGGAGGCAGCAGUAGGGAAUCUUCGGCAAUGGACGAAAGUCUGACCGAGCAACGCCGCGUGAGUGAAGAAGGUUUUCGGAUCGUAAAACUCGGUUGGUAGAGAAGAACGUUGGUGAGAGUGGAAAGCUCAUCAAGUGACGGUAACUACCCAGAAAGGGACGGCUAACUACGUG
rnacentral:rRNA from 1 species